rnacentral:rRNA from 1 species
GAUGAACGCUGGCGGUAUGCUUAACACAUGCAAGUCGAACGGUACCUUCGGGUAUAGUGGCGGACGGGUGAGUAACGCGUGAGAAUCUAUCUUCAGGUCGGGGACAACAGUUAGAAAUGACUGCUAAUACCGGAUGUGCCGAAAGGUAAAAGAUUUAUUGCCUGAAAAAGAGCUCGCGUCAGAUUAGUUAGUAGGUGGUGUAAGAGACUACCUAGGCUUCGAUCUGUAGCUGGUCUGAGAGGACGAUCAGCCACACUGGAACUGAGACACGGUCCAGACUCCUACGGGAGGCAGCAGUGGGGAAUUUUCCGCAAUGGGCGAAAGCCUGACGGAGCAAUACCGCGUGAGGGACGAAGGCUCUUGGGUCGUAAACCUCUUUUCUCAAGGAGGAUUCAGACGGUACUUAAGGAAUAAGCAUCGGCUAACUCUGUG